CACACACAAACAAAUACACACACACACAUUCAUAAAAUAGGAUUAAUUGCCUGGACAGUUAGGAAGGUUUUUUCCCCUUCAUUUAUUUUUCUCAUUAAACAGAUUUCUCAGUAACUUAACAGGACUUAACGAUCACCCUAUUAAAACUCUAUCUUUUUGUACAUACUCCUCAUUUUUACCCUUUGUACUCUGCACUCAUUUCUGCUUUUCAGCCAAUUGCUCUUUCACAGACCUUGUGUGUGCUAAGUCACUUCAGUCCUACCCGACUCUUUGUGACCCUCUGGACUGUAACCUGUCAGGCUCCUCUGUCCAUGGGAUUCUUCAGCGACCUCCACUCUCAGUAAUGUCCCAAACUGGAGAGCUGUUUGGGGGAUCCGAGGAGCUAACAUACAGGGAGAGUGUCUGGUACAGCAUUAGCACUAUCAGGAGGAGAAGGGGAUGACAGAGGACGAGAUGGCUGGAUGGCAUAACCAACUCAACGG